GCCAGAUAAGGGAAGCAGGCCUCCGAAGCCAGCAGUGGCAACCCACUUGGGUCCCUUUCAAUGCUGUGGAAGCGUUGUUCUUUCACUCUUCUCAAUAAAUCUUGCUGCUGCUCACUCUUUGGGUCUGCCCCGCUGUUAUGAGCUGUAACACUCACAGCCAGUGUCUGCAGUUUCACUCCUGAAGCCAGCAAGACCACAAACCCACAGGGCGGGACAAACAACUCCGGACAGGAGGAAUGAACAACUCUGGACGCGCCACUUCUAUGAACUUUUAUGAACUGUAACACUCACCGCAAAGGUCUGCAGCUUCACCCCUGAGGCCAGGGAGACCACGAACCCACCGGAAGGAAUGAACAACUCCAGACGCACUGCCUUUAAGAGCUGUAACACUUACCACGGAUGUCUGCAGCUUCACUCCUGAAGUCAGCGAGACCACAAACCCAACAGAAGGAAGAAACUCCCGACACAUCUGAACAUCUGAAGGAACAAACUCUGGACACACCAUCUUUAAGAACUGUAACACUCACCGUGAGGGUCAACCGCUUCAUUCUUGAAGUCAGCCAGACCAAGAACCCACCAAUUCCGGCUCAUAGGCAGAAGGGACUUUCCUUGUCUCAGAUGAGAAUUUGGACUGUGGACUUCUGCUGAAAGUCAUUUAAUGCUGAAUCUAUCUGAAUCAUGUUAUUGGACCAUGAGAGCAAGCAGCUGGAUCUCAUUCUGUCCAGGCUGAAGUGGAGUGUCAUGAUCUUGGCUCAUUGCAGCCUCCUCCUCCCAAGUUCAAGCAAUUCUCCUGCCUCAGCCUCCCGAGUAGUUGGAAUUACAGGGUUUCAUCAUUUUUGGCCAUGCUGGCCUUGAACGCCUAACCUCAAAUGAUCCACCUGCCUUGGCCUCCUGAAGUUCUGGGAGUUAUAGGCAUGAGUCACCAUGCCUGGCACCACAUAAAAUUAUUUUGUCAUUAACAUUACAUUUUAAAAUACAAACGCUGUUUUCCAUAUUACUCAGGUCAGAUCUUUUACCCCACUUCUCUCAGUGAGAUUGCAUUAUUUAUUUCCAUCUCUAUAAUCUACUGUUCAUCCAUCUAUCUAUCCAUCCCUCAAUUUAGUUUUUUCACUACAUUCUGCAUUUGAUUCUUUUGAGGGUGUAUGCUUGUGUUUGUGCGUGGAAGUGGGGGUGUGUGUGUGUGUGUGUGUUCAAAAAGGUCUACAGUUUCCUUUUUCUGUAAUAUCUGUGUCUGCUGUUGGUAUUAGGGUAAUGCUGAACUCAUAGAGUAUGUGAAAAGUUUUCUACAUUCUUUGAUUUUUCUGAAAGAAAUUGUGCAGAAUUCAUAUUAUUUCUUUCUUAAAUGCUCAAGUGUUUAUUAAAAUUUACCAGUAAAA
rnacentral:lncRNA from 1 species